UAAACGGGUUGGGGCUCUUGGGCUGAGGGCACCCGAGGGGGUUCUUUUGGUGGACGGGAAAGAGAUGUUAACUUCUCAACGGCUCUUCCUAAGCGAUAUCUGUGGAGCUCCAAGUCUGCGUGGUUAAAACCGAAAUAGUGCUGGCUUGAUCGGAAGAUCUGCCUGGAGAGGUCCUGAAUCUGCCCUGCACUCUAUUACACGGUUAACACAUAGCGCCUGAAUGACAACAUGGAAGGAGAAACCAUUAAGAACAACAGAAAAGGAUUCUUGAAAGAAACAGAAGUGGAAGCUAGAAAGCCUGGAGCAGACCUUCCCAGAAUGAAAACAAAAAUUCAAGAUGCUAAAGAUGAUGAAAAAAGUCUUAAAAGAAGAAAAGGAAGUGAAAUGCAAGUAGGAGUCAGGUGGGAGACUCCGCCUGUCUGCACCGAAGGUUUUG